AUGUUGAACCUCAUGUAUUAUACGCACUUGUACCGUAGGGUAGUAGUAGCAGACGUGGGUGCAGUUUUGUUAGUCAAAGCGCACACGAUCGCCUCCUCUCGAACGCGGCCUGGCCACGAUCACCAUCGUGCGCCCACGCCCGCUGUUCCCCUCUGUAUAAGUGUCCUACUGAUGCAAUGCGAUCGCUGUGUUCGAUCCUCUUCCUUCUCUCUCUCGUCAACAUGGUAUCAGACGCCGAAGAAGCCAAUCCCUUCGCGCCCAACCACCCUCCCUCUUCCGCUGCCAUGGACACCAAUCCCCUCACCUCUCCCCACUCCUCUGACGAUGAUGCGCCGCACACCGCCGGCGUUCUCCACACUGCCCUCGCUGACGCUGCGGCCGCGGCUCCGGUCGUUGCCCCGCCUUCGCUGGCCCCUGGCGCAUUUCCAUCCUCGGUGCUGCAGACGAUCGAUAUUCGUCAUCACGUCCCCAUCACCCUGGACCUGCACGCCGGCAACUACGGCCAGUGGCGGCGCUUCUUCUUCACCAUCGUCGGCAUGUUUGGCAUUGGCGACCACCUCGUCGCCCCAACCGCUCCUCGCCGUCGCGAUCCCGAGUGGGUCAUGGUCGACCACUGCGUCGUCCACUGGCUCUUCUUCCGUGUUCUGCAUGUCCCCACGCGACUCGACUAAGUCGCUGCAAUGGGUGGAGGAGAAGAGCGUUGUGUUCAUAAAAGGUUGUGGCUAA
rnacentral:rRNA from 1 species